CCUACGGGGUGCUGCAGUGGGGGAUAUUGCACAAUGGGGGGAACCCUGAUGCAGCGACGCCGCGUGGGUGAAGAAGCGCCUCGGCGCGUAAAGCCCUGUCAGCAGGGAAGAAAAUGACGGUACCUGAAGAAGAAGCCCCGGCUAACUACGUGCCAGCAGCCGCGGGAAUACGUAGGGGGCAAGCGUUAUCCGGAUUUACUGGGUGUAAAGGGGGCGCAGACGGCGAUGCAAGCCAGGAGUGAAAGCCCGGGGCCCAACCCCGGGACUGCUCUUGGAACUGCGUGGCUGGAGUGCAGGAGGGGCAGGCGGAAUUCCUGGUGUAGCGGUGAAAUGCGUAGAUAUCAGGAGGAACACCGGUGGCGAAGGCGGCCUGCUGGACUGCAACUGACGUUGAGGCCCGAAAGCGUGGGGAGCAAACAGGAUUAGAUACCCGGGUAGUC
rnacentral:rRNA from 1 species